UGGUUCUUCUACUAUU
rnacentral:sRNA from 1 species